ensembl:lncRNA
AAAAAAAAGCUUGCAACAAGUGAUCAACCUUUCCCUAGCAGCUGCCACCUCUCAGGCAAAGGAAAGCUGCUGCCUUUACACAUGUUAAUGAAAUCCUUAGCACACAAGAUUCUCUGCACUGUGAAGGACAGACCAUACUUGUAGUCUCUCUGUGAAGUCUGCCCACCAAGUGAGAUGAGAGUUACAGUAACAGAAGAAAUAUGAUAAAUUUUUCCUGCCUUAAGAAUUUUUUUGAGUGGAGCUCCUCUGCUGAUUUGAAUCUUAAUGCUGUUCUCAGGUAGCAUUUUCAAUUCAUCAGAUACUGUACAGCUGCAUACUCGCACCACAGCAGAAAGAUUUGUGGGUUCCUAUUUUUAGAAUUUCAUGUUUUGGCACCUCUAUGCUUUUCAUUUGCCCAAACUGUAUUCUGCUAAUUAAAGCUUAAGACCUA